GAUGAACGCUGGCGGCGUGCCUAAUACAUGCAAGUCGAGCGAACGGACGAGAAGCUUGCUUCUCUGAUGUUAGCGGCGGACGGGUGAGUAACACGUGGAUAACCUACCUAUAAGACUGGGAUAACUUCGGGAAACCGGAGCUAAUACCGGAUAAUAUUUUGAACCGCAUGGUUCAAAAGUGAAAGACGGUCUUGCUGUCACUUAUAGAUGGAUCCGCGCUGCAUUAGCUAGUUGGUAAGGUAACGGCUUACCAAGGCAACGAUGCAUAGCCGACCUGAGAGGGUCGUCGGCCACACUGGAACUGAGACACGGUCCAGACUCCUACGGGAGGCAGCAGUAGGGAAUCUUCCGCAAUGGGCGAAAGCCUGACGGAGCAACGCCGCGUGAGUGAUGAAGGUCUUCGGAUCGUAAAACUCUGUUAUUAGGGAAGAACAUAUGUGUAAGUAACUGUGCACAUCUUGACGGUACCUAAUCAGAAAGCCACGGCUAACUACGUG
rnacentral:rRNA from 1 species